UACAGAGGGGGCAAGCGUUGUUCGGAAUUACUGGGCGUAAAGGGCGCGUAGGCGGCCCGCUAAGUCGAACGUGAAAUCCCCAGGCUCAACCUGGGAACUGCGUCCGAUACUGGCAGGCUUGAAUCCGGGAGAGGGAUGUGGAAUUCCAGGUGUAGCGGUGAAAUGCGUAGAUAUCUGGAGGAACACCGGUGGCGAAGGCGGCGUUCUGGACUGCAACUGACACUGAGGAACGAAAGCCAGGGGAGCAAACGGG
rnacentral:rRNA from 1 species